GACGAACGCUGGCGGCGCGCCUAACACAUGCAAGUCGAACGGAGCUGAGAGAAGCUUGCUUUUCUUAGCUUAGUGGCGAACGGGUGAGUAACGCGUGAGUAACCUGCCCUGGAGUGGGGGACAACAGUUGGAAACGACUGCUAAUACCGCAUAAGCCCACGAUCCGGCAUCGGCUUGAGGGAAAAGGAUUUAUUCGCUUCAGGAUGGACUCGCGUCCAAUUAGCUAGUUGGUGAGGUAACGGCCCACCAAGGCGACGAUUGGUAGCCGGACUGAGAGGUUGAACGGCCACAUUGGGACUGAGACACGGCCCAGACUCCUACGGGAGGCAGCAGUGGGGGAUAUUGCACAAUGGGGGAAACCCUGAUGCAGCGACGCCGCGUGGAGGAAGAAGGUUUUCGGAUUGUAAACUCCUGUCGUCAGGGACGAUAAUGACGGUACCUAACAAGAAAGCACCGGCUAACUACGUG
rnacentral:rRNA from 1 species